CUUGUUUCCUGACCCUGCACUGGUUAAGGCAGAUGUGGGUUUUUGAUCGGUAGAACAGGCACAAUGACACCUACCACCCCAGGUUGAUUGGCUGAUGCAGGCAAAGGGCUAACAGAAGGAUGGCAAGGCCAGAGGAAGACCAGAAGCUCCUUUACGCUCUGAGACUGGCUCCUGGUCCACCCACAGCCACAGUGGACACAUCCUCAUCAGGACAUGGUCACCCAGCAAACCCACUCUGGUCACAGGGAUCUACUCUGGCAUGAGAGCUGCAGUGGCACUAAGGUGAAAGGAAUAGGUGAGAAAGCCUACCCAAGACCCAGGAAGAAGAACUGUGGGAACCAGUACCUUAAGAACCGCAACAUCUGGGUCCUCUCAAUUAUUACCACCACACAGCUACCACCACUACCAAGCUGCAGCAGCUUCACCUUCAGAGAGCUACUCAGCAUGGUCAAUCUUCAAAAUCUUACUGCAGCCUAUUGACAUGCAUUCACUGUCACCCAGUGAGCUUUGUUUGGUUAUCCUAAUUGUGUUUCUAUUGGCAGGGUAGAAGAUGAAACACCUUCUAAUUAGUCCUGAGUAUCCCUCUAAAGAGGUCUUUAUCAAUUUAUCUAUUGCUGUGUAACAAACUAUCCAAAACUUAGUGGCUUAACAAAGCCAUUUACUUGGCCCCUGUUUCUGCUGGCUGGCAAUGCGGGCAACCCUCAGGUAGGCAGUUCUGCUGAACUUGGCUAGGUUUGCUCAUUUAUCAAUGAGAAGCUCUGUUUUCUGGGACUAGAUGGCUGUCAGCCGAGGGUAAUGGGGCCAGCUGAGCUACUGUUCUUUCCUUGUCUAGUAGGCCAGCCUGGGUUUGGCCACAUGAUGGCAUCUCAGUGUUCCAAAGGGAUCAAGAGAGGAAGCUACAAGGCCUCAUGAAGUCUACACUUAGAACACACCCAGAUUCAAGUACACCAUGGGCCAAGGCAAGACAAAAACCAGCCUGAAAUAAGUACACUCAACCUAUUGAAGGGAAAAUUUGCCAAGUAUUGUGCCAUCUUUUAAUAUACCAAGGUCUACAAAUUUUCUUCUUUUAAUACUGGCAUAUGCUGGAAAGGAAGAAUGAAGAGUGUUCCUAAAAGUUUUUGUUAUUGCUGCUAAAUAAAUUAUUCCCUAUAACCAGGACAUACACUGAGAGCCUGGUCCAUCCCCUGCUGUUUAUUUAUUGUGCAUUAUUAUUAUUUAUUGAGUACCUCCCACAUGGCCCAGACCAGUCAAAUAACAGCAGAAAAGGCAUACACUAAAUAGCACUUGUUCCCAGGGUGUUUACAGUCAAAUAUGGAAAACAUCUUGAAUAAAUAAUAUAAAUAUUUGGUGAGUAUCAUGUCUGAAAGUUUUAUAAAUGUAUUAUUAAUUAUUUCCUUGAUGGUUGUUGCUGCUGGAGUCCUGACUUUUAAAGCCUUUGUAACCCUACUUUAAAUAAAUAUUCAAUUGUCGAAAUGGGUUUUUGAAAAAAGGAAGGUAAACCUCUGGCUGAAGUUCCCCACUAGGCAAACCCAGGCCUGUCAGAAGGCCAAGACCAAAACAGGGAAACUCCAGUUCAACUCCAGACCCAGGUCAUGGCCUCUCCUGGAAAAGACUGAUGCUGUGCUCCCUUCUCAUUGUUUGUCUUUCCAGGUGACACCAUGAGAGGGCGGCUGGAGGCCCAACUUCAAUCAGCCUAGACUAGUUGACCCAACUCCAGGCUGUCUCUGUUGCCAGGUCUCCUAUCGGGCCCCUCCCACAGGCAUGUAACAUGCAAGCUGACCUCUCAGCAGCACUUGCCUGCCUUUCAUUCAAAUGUAUCAUGUCUACUUACUUAGCUGUAGAUAGUGUUGUAGCUUUUUUCUUUUUUUCCAUUUGACAAUGUAUUAGGAAAAUUGCCCUAUGCUGUUACUUAAAUCUACCCUAUGGGAUACAGAAUGUAUAAAUGGAUGUUAAAAUAUAUUAUUAAAAGAGAAGUUGUUUGUCCAGCAACUCUCUUGAAGGUCUCUUCUUCCCCAAACUCCUUCUGUGACCAAGGCAGUCAGCUUCAGGCGUAGGGCUAAGCACCCACUCUUUCCCUCCUUCUACCUUUGUGGGGAUUAGAAUAUUUCCAUGAAUCCUAGUAGAUAGAUGUGAGACUUAGAUUUUAGCAUUGGUGGCCUGCUCAGGUCUGGGUCUGGUAAUCUGUUGUCUGUGCAUUGGAAAAGCUCAAGAGAACUGUAUCCUUCUGCCCACUGCUACUUCACUGACCAAAAGUCCAUCUGGCCCAGCCACCUGUUUAGGAACAGGACAUAUGAAUGUCCUCCUUUGAUGGACUCGGCCUCUGAAGUGCAGAGGAGGUAAGGGUCCCCCCAAGCUGACACAGGGAAAGAUGGAAACCAUUUCUGAACUCCCAGAUUGGCAACCUCACUGCAGAUUUUCUUUACUUUACAGAUGAAGCUUCUAGGAUUCAUCCAGUCCAAAGUUUCUCGAUACCUUAGGAGUCUUUAUAACAUUUUUUUUUCCUAAUCCAAUCCCCCUAAAAAAUGUUAAGACUAUAGAUUUAAUAGACAGCUGGUUUCUAUACUCUGUAUAUAUCUGAGGUUUAUGUUAAGAAAAGAGUAAGCUUUUUUCAACUCCCAAGAAUCACAUUUCACCCACCCUUUGGAGGUCCCCUGGAAGAUGCAUGAGCUAGCUUAACCUUUUCAUUUUACAGUUGAAAAGACUGAAGCCAGAGAGGGCAGGGGAAUGCCUCUAGGUCACUAAGUUCAGGCCCAUGGGGCCAAGAGUAGAUCGGAGGGCUCCAGACUCCUCCCCACUCGCUGCCUCAUGGAUAGCUAUAGAGGCUUUGUGACUCCCUCCUGGACAUCGCCCACCCGUCCUCCUCCCUCCCCAGGAUUCCACCCAAACUUGGGCCUUCACCUGUUCAAGAACAAGGUGGUCAACAACUGAGGAUCCCGGGACCUCCUAGACUCAGCCAUGGACCAUCCAUCAGGAAGCCAGAAGGUUGAUGGAGCCUUUCUUCAUAGCUAUGGAAGUGGACAAGCGCUGCUCAGCUUGGGCGCUCACAACAGGGCUGACAGAUCACACCACUGCCUCCUUGAGGUUCUGCCCCAUCACCUUUUCCAAAUGCAAGACAAGCAUAAAACUACUACAGCAGUGAACAAAAAAAAAAAUCAACUUGGAAAUAAUUAAACAGCAAGGCAGCCACCCAUAAUGAUAUUCUGCAGCACACUUUGGGGACAGUUUGCUGCAAAAGCGCCCGAGCACUCCGGUUGUUUAAUUAACAUUGAAACGGCAGUUCCACAAGAACUAAAAACCUUGUUAAUUUAUGUGUCUCUUAAUGAUGCUCAUUUAAAUACUGUCAACUUUCCCUCGGUUUAAUAUUCAUGAUUUUGAGUCAUUAAAACACUAUGAUCAGCUGGAGGGGGAGGGACUUUCUUACACACCGACAAACAC